rnacentral:lncRNA from 1 species
CUAGAAGUCUUCUAUGAAUCUUAAAAUGAAGGUGACAGAUGACUUUACAAUUGAACUAUUUUAUUUCUUUACCUACUUAUUUACUCAAUUAUUUAAUAACUGCUUCCUCCCAUUUAGUAUAAGUGAUAUUUGCACCAGGUUGAGUUGCUGGUUGGUCUAUGCUGGAGGUACCUCUGGGAGCACCAAGACACUACUAACCAAUCACAUUGAGAGCAACUGGAACCUCUCUCCAGGCAUGAGAAAACACUAAGAAAGGUCCCAGGAGGCCCAUGCUGGGCUUCAGUGUCUGCCUUGACUAGCUGAUGCUUCACGGAACUUUACCACUCUCCAAGCCACAUCUAAGAAGAGCCUUCUACACACCAAGCUUACUGAACGAGGAAUGUUAUUCCAAUAGAUAGUCUCACCAGGAGUUUGUGAAUGUUUCCAUCUCAAGGGACCUUCUCAGUGACCUACAGUAUCACUCCGUGUUGUACAGAUAUUUGAUCAUUAAACUUCUACCUCACCCAACCGAAGAAUCUCUGACACAGAUCUUACUUUCAGGAGCCCUGUUUGAGCAACUCUAAGCUGAGAUGAGAACAGUCUUGCUGCAAAUGAACUUCGUCUCUGAGCUCUUUUUGUUGAUGUCUAGAGUGAGAGUUUCUAGAAUCUAUCUGUGGGAUCUAUAUUAAGUUAUAGUUUGUAUCAAAUGGCAUGAUAGUCUUUACCAAGCAAGAGGGCAGUGGAGUGUUUUUGUGGUUCUUUAUGGGCACUGAAAUAUUUACUAACCAUGUUGGUUUUAUUAAGUAAUUGGAGAUACAGACAAAUCAACACCUCGGGGAAAUCUACCUGACUCAAAACAUUUCAGUCAGUUUCCUGGUCACUGCUGAGCCGAAGAAUUCAUUGGGAGUGAAUGCCAGAGUUGAGGGUUGUUCUGAAGACCCUGAACAGAGCAGGAAACAGCCUGGAGAGCCAUGUACAACUGGGCAGAGAGGAAAUGACAGGAGACAGGUUGGGUUGACUGUCUUAGGCAAGAACAUAUUGGAACGGCGUUGAACAACAUGAAGAGGGAAU